AAAUUCUGUAAUUUCAAUUUUGAGACAGUUAAGAGGAGGAUUUGUUUUAAAUACAUGUUUUUCCACAUUUUUGGAAACAUUAUAAAAUGUUGUAUUUUUCAUACCCCACACCCUUUUAUAUCAGGACAUUCCCCCUUUCUUCUUCCCCUCAGAAAAUUCUGUAAGAUUAAGGGUCAUAUAAGGGCUCUUCGCCCUGAAGCCCAUGAGAGAAAAAGAACCUCAUAAACCACAGAAAGAAAUAUCCAUGGGGCACUCAGGUAGCCUAAAAGGUCUGACAACAGCAGGCCCUACCCUACGAACAAAGCAGGGACCCCCACGGGCACGCAGCCAUCUCCUGCACUGCAGCUCUGCUCUCUUCUUUGAUUGGUUUUAGCGGUGACGCCCCCUCUGAAUGCCUCGCUCGGAUUGGCCUACUUCUUGGAUCAGACUGGACGGUGGCCAGAGGAGGACAAGAGAGUUCCAUACGGUCUGGAGGGACGAUUUGGGUCACAUCUGAGAAGGAGUUGCACAUCAACAAGCGUCCAGGCUCCAGGGACAUGGCGGCGGCCUCUGUGAUGUCGGUGCUGCUGAUGGCGACUGAGAGGAACCGGUGGCAGCGAGUCCAGAGCCUGCUGCUGCUGCUGCCGCCCAGGCAACGGUUGUGUCCCUUUCUGCCUUAAUGCCAAUCAACAUGCUGAAGUCCUCAAAAAGUUCCUGAGAGAUCCAUUUCAAAUUCUAGUCAAGAAAGAACUGAUCAUUGAAAGGUGCUGACAGAAAGAAAGAGGCAUUACCAAGAGGGAACUCCUUGAUAAGAAUUGGAAGCGGGAGUCAAUUUGGGAGGAAAGCUGUGGCCAUAAACAUUGAAGAAGACAAGAAGAAUCUUUAUGACACUGAGACUUUCUACCACAUUACGGUGGAGGAAAUGCCAAAGACUGUGGCUGACCUAAUUUAAUCCCUGGAAUGAAAUGGUUAUGAAUGUAGUGCUUGCUAUUGCUGAACAGGCAAUCACAUUGUGCAUUGUGUUUCUUUUGGGGAUAAUAUGUGAAACUUGUCUCAGUGCUCACAACAGAUUAAAAAUACAGAUUUUGAUAACAAAGCAACUUCAGACAUGAUUUCAUGUGAGGGUAGUCAUUGGCUUUAUCUUCUUAUUUCCUAGUUCUCUACACAUGGUUGUAUUGAGCAUUUGCCAUCAUUUAAUAAUAUGGCCUGAAAGAUAUAAAAGCAGCUAUUUAUAAAGUUUGUCUGCCUUUAUUGUAUUAGUCACUAACUGAAUAGAGCUAACUUUAAAAUGAUUUUUUAAGAAAAUAUUUAAAUUUAUUUUGUUUGGUAUCAUUUUUUCCAGUAAGGCAUUUUAUUAGCAGUUAGUUGAAUGUUUAUUGAAUGUUCAAUAAAUUACAGUGAAGUAUUUUUUCUCU
ensembl:lncRNA